rnacentral:piRNA from 1 species
UCUCCGUGGUUGUGGUGCGGUUCACUAC